AGCGUCGUGCUUAUACUCUGCCGUCGGGACAGUAGUGAUAUCUUUACUACUCUCCGGGGUGUAAAAUAUCGUCAGGUCUCGACGAGUAGGUGGGCCGCGGCGGUGAGCGCAGAAGGACUGGGCGUAGGCCCGUCUGGAGCCGCCGUCGGUGCAGAUCUUGGUGGUAGUAGCAAAUACUCCAGCGAGGCCCUGGAGGACUGACGUGGAGAAGGGUUUCGUGUGAACAGCCGUUGCACACGAGUCAGUCGAUCCUAAGCCCUAGGAGAAAUCCGAUGUUAAUGCAGUUGUGUCUUUGUUAUAUGAUGACAUUGGUGUGAGAGUUUCAAACAGUUGACGUUUAUACUUUAAUACAGUUUUAUAUAAUGAUGCUGGCUGAUCUAUCAAUACUGUCGCUAUCCCCGAUUUGAACGUUCAUAAGUAUAGUACACUAUUUCUGCUGUUACACAGUAGUUGUAGACUCUGACUUGUUCAAUGUCUGGUGAGCGGUUUACAUGAUAGUUGAAACACAUUUUUAUUAUGUAGAAAAGUGUCUUCUGUCUCUAUCCACUAAUAAAUCGUUGUUAGAGAAGUUAUCACACUCAUUGGGCGAAAGGGAAUCCGGUUCCUAUUCCGGAACCCGGCAGCGGAACCGUUUACAAGUCGGGCCCUCCUAAGAGAGUUCGUCGGGGCAACCCAAC
rnacentral:rRNA from 1 species